UACGUAGGGUGCGAGCGUUGUCCGGAAUUAUUGGGCGUAAAGAGCUCGUAGGCGGUGUGUCACGUCGGCCGUGAAAACCUGCAGCUUAACUGUGGGCGUGCGGUCGAUACGGGCAUCACUGGAGUCCGGCAGGGGAGACUGGAAUUCCUGGUGUAGCGGUGAAAUGCGCAGAUAUCAGGAGGAACACCGGUGGCGAAGGCGGGUCUCUGGGCCGAUACUGACGCUGAGGAGCGAAAGCGUGGGGAGCAAACAGG
rnacentral:rRNA from 1 species